UCUCAGACUAGAGCUUUAAUUAUUGCUCAUGUUUCAUGGGGUUAUUAUUUGUUACGGUUUUGCACUGCUGGCAGCAGGCGCAGAAAAGCACAUGAGUCGCUGUCAUUCCGCGCAACAUUUGCGGACGGGAGGAAUCUAGUGAGUACUUGUUGCGAGCCAUACGGCGGCGGCAGCGUCUCGGAGCUGUCAAACAUUGCGCACAGCCUUCAGUCUUCAGUCAGUGGAGUAACCGGACUAAUCCAUCAGACAAACAACUCGGAAGAUUAACCUUUUUUAGCCUCGCGAAACUAGUUUUUGUCUCCGCACCCGGAAGCCUGUUUUUAAAAUCAUGAUCAUUUUGUCACAUGGCUUUGGAGAAUUCAAUAACAACAAAAAAUGGCGACAAUCACGUUGCUCUGUGUGGUCUUGCUGCGUCAUUAAAAAUAUUCAUGUAAACACGGGGAAUUAAACGGGAAAAUUGCAGUUAUUGCACGUUGCUUUGCUGUCCACGUCUGACAUGAACAUUUUUGGCCAGUGCCCUGUGCAGCGGGGCUAAUGGAGUUGUUUACAAGAAGUGCGGAGGGCGGACUGACGAGGAGGAGGAGGAGCCGCUACGUCGGCCAGCGACGCGACCUGACUGCUCGAGAGGGUUCUCGCGCCGAGGGGGAGGCGGGGCCCGCGAGGAGGAUCAUAACAAGUCUGACGUCACUCGGCCUUGUGGUUGGUAUGAAUAAUGUACAGUAGUUUCAAAAAAAUAAAAAUUAAUUUUAGAAAAAGCAACUAGUUUGCCUCUUGCAAGUCCUGGCAGGAAAGAGGUGAAGGGGAAAAAUGUUUUAUGAGAUGAAGCAGGAGCCAUCUGUGCGCCAGCAGACUGGAAACAAAGAAAUAAUGAUUUUUUAAAAAAGCCCUUUGUAUUGAGACUGCAAAGUAGCGCUAAACAUUGACAUCAUGAUGAAAUACAUAAAGCUGAAAAGCAGGCAUCUUUCUCUCAUUUCCAAGAAUUAAAUAAUGUUCACAGAGAACCCAAGUUCAAAUGCUGCAUGUGCAGAGUUGUGCAUUAUUAACUGUCCACCAUUCAGACACAGGGACAAGUUGUAUGAAUUAGAGCUGCUAUGACUCAGAUUAUUCGGUCAACAGAAAAUUAAUUGGCUAAAUUUCGAGACUUUAAUUUAUUAAUCCUUCCGUAAUUUUUCAAGCAAUAAUUGUGAAAAAUUGUUUCAGAUUUCGUCUUUUCAAAUGUGACAUUUGUCAUAUUUAUUACAAUAAAUUGAAUAUCUGUAGGUUCUGGAUGGACAAAAGCAAAUUAAAGACAUCACAGUUGACUUUGAGAAAAUGUAAAUUAUUUAUUUUUUUAACAUUUUAUAGUCUGAGAGACUAAUCGAUUAAUCAAAAAAGAUAAUACUAAUUGGCGGAUUAAUUGAUUAUGAAAAUAAUUGUCAUUGUCAUUAUCAGUUGUUGUUUUACAACAUUAAAGAUCUGUGUCAAGUGGAUUGCUAUGUGGUUCAUAGCAUUAGACAAGUAGUUACUGUUUUUAUCAAUCCAAAAAGGAGUCUACAACAUAGCCGUGUAAUUGUAGUUAAUGACUGUUAAAGGCAUUCAUGGAUCAACAACAUCCAUAAAUACAUUUUCACCAUAAAUGGACAACAGAGUCUGUCUUUUGCAAGAUAGAAUAAAUAAAUUUAUUGAUCACCAGUUCUCACAUGCUCUUAAUAUUCAUUAGUCCUAAUUAAACUGUGAAAUAUUUUUUAUAUUUUGUAACUAUAUCACUGAUUUUGUUCUUGCUAAUUAGUUUUUUUCUAAUGAUCUUAUUAUAUUUCCCCAAAUUCUUAUAUAAUUUUAAAGGUUAAGAUCCUUUGGUAAGAGGGCAAAAAACUUGUUGGUGACCAUUGGUGGGAAGAAUAUUUUUUUUUUUAAACUAAUGCAUUCAAAUCAAGGAUUAUUAGGUUACAUGGCUAUAUUUUUCUGUAGAUUCAUCUAUUAUAUUUUUUUGCUACUGUAUUACUGUAUUAAGUCAAAUGAAAUGUUGGAGAUACAACUUACAUGUUUUGCAUGAGCUACAACUAAAUGAGCUGCAUAAAUGCAAAAGGAAAAACUUUGUUAUCUUUGUACAUGUUUACCUAGAGCGUGGAUAUUUUGGGUGGAUGAUGAAUGCAGUGAAGCCAUGGGCUGCUAGAUUUGACAGGCUGCCCUGGUUCAGUUAUCACAGUGCUGAUGCUGUCCCCAUCGAAGGUACAGUACUGUGAUAACUGAAGGAUGGCUGCCAACUUGACACUAGUGCAGUGGAUCGAGGCACAUUCAGCUAAUGAGCCAGAGGACCAGAAGGAAGGUCGGCAAGUGUGAGUAUGUGAUUAAAAACAAAAAAAAAAAAAAAUGGUGGUAUGACAGAUCUGAUAACCUGUUACUGUGUAUGUAAAUGCAAGAACAUUAAA